rnacentral:piRNA from 1 species
UGCAGAUGCUCUGGUGGGAAAUGAAGC